rnacentral:rRNA from 1 species
AAAUUGAAGAGUUUGAUCAUGGCUCAGAUUGAACGCUGGCGGCAGGCUUAACACAUGCAAGUCGAACGGUAGCAGGAAGGAAGCUUGCUUUCUUUGCUGACGAGUGGCGGACGGGUGAGUAAUGCUUGGGGAUCUGGCUUAUGGAGGGGGAUAACGACGGGAAACUGUAGCUAAUACCGCGUAGUAUCGAGAGAUGAAAGACUGGGACCGCAAGGCCAGUUGCCAUAAGAUGAGCCCAAGUGGGAUUAGGUAGUUGGUGGGGUAAAGGCCUACCAAGCCGACGAUCUCUAGCUGGUC